CAGCCCAACUCAAGGAGGAAAAGGAGGAACUCCAGAAGCAAAUGGGUGCCUUAAUCUGUUUAUUGCUGUGUAUUGAUGUGAUCGUCAUCCUUUUUCUAGUAAAAUGCAAAA